rnacentral:rRNA from 1 species
AUUGAACGCUGGUGGCAUGCCUUACACAUGCAAGUCGAACGGUAACAGGUCUUCGGAUGCUGACGAGUGGCGAACGGGUGAGUAAUGCAUCGGAACGUGCCCAGUAGUGGGGGAUAGCCCGGCGAAAGCCGGAUUAAUACCGCAUACGACCUGAGGGUGAAAGGGGGGGAUCGCAAGACCUCUCGCUAUUGGAGCGGCCGAUGUCAGAUUAGCUAGUUGGUGGGGUAAAGGCCUACCAAGGCAACGAUCUGUAGGUGGUCUGAGAGGACGACCAGACACACUGGGACUGAGACACGGCCCAGACGCCGACGGGAGGCAGCAGUGGGGAAUUUUGGACAAUGGGCGCAAGCCUGAUCCAGCAAUGCCGCGUGCAGGAAGAAGGCCUUCGGGUUGUAAAGGACUUUUGUCCGGGAGCAAAUGCUGGUGGCUAACAUCCACCGGAGCUGAGAGUACCGGAAGAAUAAGCACCGGCUAACUACGUGCCAGCCGCCGCCGUAACAC